AUGAAGAACGCAGCGAAAUGCGAUAAGUAAUGUGAAUUGCAGAAUUCAGUGAAUCAUCGAAUCUUUGAACGCAUCUUGCGCUCCUUGGUAUUCCUUGGAGCAUGCCUGUUUGAGUAUCAUGAGCAAAUCUCAAAGUCAAUUCCUUUUGUUGAUUCAAUUGGUUUUGCUUUGGACUUGGAGGCCUUGCAGAUUUCACAGUCUGCUCCUCUUAAAUGCAUUAGCUGGAUCUCAGUAAUUAUGCUUGGUUCCACUCGGCGUGAUAAGUAUCACUCGCUGAGGACACUGUUAAAAAGGUGGCCAGGAAAAUACUGAUUGAACCGCUUCUAACGGUCUAUUAAGUUAGACAAUUACCCUUAAGUUUGAUCUCAAAUCAGGUAGGACUACCCGCUGAACUUAAGCAUAUCAAUAAGCGGAGGA
rnacentral:misc_RNA from 1 species